rnacentral:rRNA from 1 species
GACGAACGCUGGCGGCGCGCCUAACACAUGCAAGUCGAACGAGCGAGAGAGAGCUUGCUUUCUCGAGCGAGUGGCGAACGGGUGAGUAACGCGUGAGGAACCUGCCUCAAAGAGGGGGACAACAGUUGGAAACGACUGCUAAUACCGCAUAAGCCCACGGCUCGGCAUCGAGCAGGGGGAAAAGGAGCAAUCCGCUUUGAGAUGGCCUCGCGUCCGAUUAGCUAGUUGGUGAGGUAACGGCCCACCAAGGCGACGAUCGGUAGCCGGACUGGGAGGUUGAACGGCCACAUUGGGACUGAGACACGGCCCAGACUCCUACGGGAGGCAGCAGUGGGGAAUAUUGCACAAUGGGGGAAACCCUGAUGCAGCGACGCCGCGUGGAGGAAGAAGGUCUUCGGAUUGUAAACUCCUGUUGUUGGGGAAGAUAAUGACGGUACCCAACAAGGAAGUGACGGCUAACUACGUG